UUGAGCGAAGCUUUUUGGUAGUUUACUACUAGAAAUGACUGAGCGGCGAACGGGUGAGUAACGCGUGAGCAAUCUACCUUAGUUACUGGGAUAGCCCGAGGAAACUCGGAUUAAUACCGGAUAUUCUUAUUUUUUCACAUGAAGUUUUAAGGAAAGGUCAGCCGAACUAAGAUGAGCUCGCGUUCUAUCAGCUAGUUGGUGGGGUAAAAGCCUACCAAGGCUACGACGGAUAGCUGGUCUGAGAGGACGAUCAGCCACACUGGGACUGAGACACGGCCCAGACUCCUACGGGAGGCUGCAGCAGGGAAUAUUGUGCAAUGAGCGAAAGCUUGACACAGCGACACCGCGUGUGGGAUGACGGUUCUAGGAUUGUAAACCACUUUCAGGAGGGAAGAAAAUGACGGUACCUCCACAAGAAGACCCGGCCAACUAUGUGCCAGCAGCCGCGGUAAAUACAUAGGGGUCAAAGCGUUGUCCGGAUUUAUUGGGCGUAAAGAGCUCGUAGGCGGUUCAACAAGUCGGUCGUAAAAGUUUAGGGCUCAACCCUAAAAUGUCGAUCGAUACUGUUGUGACUAGGAUACCGGUAGAGGUGAAUGGAAUUCCGAGUGUAGCGGUGAAAUGCGUAGAUAUUCGAGAGGAACACCAAUUGCGAAGGCAGUUCACUGGACCGUGAUCGACCGCUGAGGAAGCGAAAGCUAGGGGAGCAAACAGGAUUAGAUACCCUGGUAGUCCUAGCUGUAAA
rnacentral:rRNA from 1 species